UUUAGAUCUAAAAAAAAAUCUCCAUUCCUCCCUCUCGUUCUCACUCAUCACCGGACUUCACGCCACGCCACCGCCCACGCCCACGCCACGGCCAUGCCACCGCCGCUCCUCCACUGCCGGUCUCUCUCUCUCUCCCCGCUCCUCACCUCCUCUACUGCCGCUCUCUCUCUUCCGCUGAUGUCGCAUUCACUUUAAUGACGGUGGAUAACGAAGAAGAGGAUGUUCUGACAUUGGAUAGUAUCAAUUCCUGUAAGAUUCCAAGUUCAUCUGGAGCAUGUUAAAAUGAGCAUAUUUGUAGAUCAUUCAACUAUUUAAGAGCGAACAACAGGUGGCAAAAAAUGAAAACCCAAUUUGUAUUUGUAAAUUUGUAAAUUGUGAUGUAGUUUUUUUUUUUCCUUUUUUUUUCGGUUUUUUUGUUAUUUGAUUAGACAAUUAAGCCUAUUAACUUAUAACUAUUAACUGAUUUGGUGUGGCUAGCCUGCUAGGAGUUCAAUUUCAAGAGAUAAUUACGAAAAAUAUUAUUAUUU